rnacentral:tRNA from 1 species
GCGGGUAUAGUUUAGUGGUAGAACAUCAGCCUUCCAAGCUGAGAACGCGAGUUCGAUUCUCGCUACCCGCUCCA